rnacentral:rRNA from 1 species
UACGUAGGGGGGCUAGCGUUGUCCGGAAUCAUUGGGCGUAAAGCGCGUGUAGGCGGUUCGGUAAGUCCGCUGUGAAAGUCGGGGGCUCAACCCUCGGAUGCCGGUGGAUACUGUCGGGCUUGAGUACGGAAGAGGCGAGUGGAAUUCCUGGUGUAGCGGUGAAAUGCGCAGAUAUCAGGAGGAACACCAAUUGCGAAGGCAGCUCGCUGGGACGUUACUGACGCUGAGACGCGAAAGCGUGGGGAGCAAACAGG